AAGGAAUUAGUUAAAAUAUAACAUUAGAAUGUCAAACUAAAAUCACUUUUAAAUAAGUAUUCCUUG
rnacentral:tRNA from 1 species